rnacentral:rRNA from 1 species
CCCUUAGAUGUUCUGGGCCGCACGCGCGCUACACUGAUGAAUUCAACGAGCACUAACCUGUGCCGAAAGGUUCGGGUAAUCUUGUGAAAUUUCAUCGUGAUGGGGAUUGAUUAUUGCAAUUUUUAAUCAUAAACCAGGAAUGCCUAGUAAGCGUGAGUCAUCAGCUCACGUUGAUUACGUCCCUGCCCUUUGUACACACCGCCCGUCGCUCCUACCGAUUGAAUGUGCCAGUGAAAAGUUCGGAUUGGAGAUAGGAAACGGCAACGUAUCCUAUUUCCGAGAAAAUCUUUAAACUUUCCCAUUUAGAGGAAGGAGAAGUCGUAACA